rnacentral:rRNA from 1 species
AUACGGAGGGUGCGAGCGUUACGCGGAGUCACUGGGCGUAAAGCGUCCGUAGGCGGUCGGGUAAGUCGGGUGUGAAAGCCCCGGGCUCAACCUGGGAAGUGCACCCGAUACUGCUCGACUCGAGUGCGGGAGAGGAUGGCGGAAUUCCCGGUGUAGCGGUGAAAUGCGUAGAGAUCGGGAGGAACACCAGUGGCGAAGGCGGCCAUCUGGCCCGCAACUGACGCUGAGGGACGAAAGCGUGGGGAGCAAACAGGAUUAGAAACCCUAGUAGUCC